GCCGGUUUCUGAAACAGGUAGUGGGACUCCGUAAUUUCCGAGAAAUCAGUGUUAGUCUGAUUCUACAGUAUAAUAUUUGUCUGACUUUAUUGUAUACUAUUUGCCGAUUUUAUUGUAUAAUAUUUGUUUUAUUUUAAUAUAUAAUAUUUGUCUAAUUUUUUGCAUGAUAUUUGUCUGAUUUUAUUAUAUAAUAUUAAACACAGGAGAAGCUAUAAGUAGACAUCAGAAUAGGAAUGUUUGUGAUUGAUCAUUUAUACGACACCUUCGAAUAAUCGCUUAAAGAGAAAAAGGUUACGUCAAGCCUGUGUCUUUAUUGUAUAAGAGAAGCGACUGAGAAGCAAUGACUUCCACUUGCGUUACGUCUGAUUUGCGACCAGUACUCUACCAGACUUUCUUCUGUUUCAUGUUAAAUUAUGCGUCAUAAGAAGCGGAAAGAUUGUAAGAGAGACGUGUAAGAACUGUAUGAGAGUUGAGAAAACGUUGUUUGAAAGAAGUCCAAUAUGUGUGUAAAAGUUGUGUGAGACUUAUGUGAAAGAUACGUACAACUUGUGAGAAAAUUCUGUAGAAGUUGUGUAAAAAGUUUAGUCCGAAGGUUGUGUCCGAGGUUGUGUCUGAAGGUUGUGUCCGAGGUUGUGUCCGAGGUUGUGUCUGAAGGUUGUGUCCGAGGUUGUGUCUGAAGGUUGUGUCCGAGGUUGUGUCCGAGGUUGUGUCUGAAGGUUGUGUCCGAGGUUGUGUCUGAAGGUUGUGUCCGAGGUUGUGUCCGAGGUUGUGUCUGAAGGUUGUGUCCGAGGUUGUGUCUGAAGGUUGUGUCCGAGGUUGUGUCCGAGGUUGUGUCUGAAGGUUGUGUCCGAGGUUGUGUCUGAAGGUUGUGUCCGAGGUUGUGUCUGAAGGUUGUGUCCAAGGUUGUGUCCGAGGUUGUGUCUGAAGGUUGUGUCCGAGGUUGUGUCCGAGGUUGUGUCUGAAGGUUGUGUCCGAGGUUGUGUCCGAGGUUGUGUCCGAGGUUGUGUCCGAGGUUGUGUCUGAAGGUUGUGUCCGAGGUUGUGUCCGAGGUUGUGUCUGAAGGUUGUGUCCGAGGUUGUGUCUGAAGGUUGUGUCCGAGGUUGUGUCCGAGGUUGUGUCUGAAGGUUGUGUCCGAGGUUGUGUCUGAAGGUUGUGUCCGAGGUUGUGUCCGAGGUUGGGUCUGAAGGUUGUGUCCGAGGUUGCGUCUGGGUUGCGUCUGGGUUGCGUCUGGGUUGCGUCUGGGUUGCGUCUGGGUUGCGUCUGGGUUGCGUCUGGGUUGCGUCUGGGUUGCGUCUGGGUUGCGUCUGGGUUGCGUCUGG